GUGAUUUAAACACCGUGCGUUUUUCUGCAUAUCGGCCAGCAAUGAAGAUCCGCCGACUCCAGAAAGCGCUCUGUUGUGUUACAUUCAGAAGGGUACCAUGCUGCAAUUCGAGCCUGCUGUUUCCAGAGUAAUCCCAAUGUGGAAGAUUUUAAAAAGGGUUGGAGUCGAAGAAUCAGAGUGCUUUCUUUGAAAAUUGUCUUGAUGUGUCCAUCCAAGCGUCAACUGGAGGAAAAAUACAAGUGUCAGUACUAAAUCUAUCAUUGCUGAU